rnacentral:ncRNA from 2 species
GGAAUCUACUAGGGGCGCGAGUGUUCGCUGAGAAAAGGUAAACAUCCUUUGUCCCUCAGAACCUGAUCUGGUUAGUACCAGCGGAGGGAAGUAGUCAGUAUCCACA